GCCGGGUGUGGUGACGCUCACCUGUAAUCCCAGCUACUUGGAAGGCUGAGGCGGGAGAAUGGCUUGAACCCGGGAGGCAGAGGCUGCGGUGAGCCAAGAUUGCGCCACUGCACUCCAGCCUGGGCAACAGAGCCAGAACCUGUCUCAU
ensembl:misc_RNA Metazoa_SRP Metazoan signal recognition particle RNA